CUUCCAUCCGUCGCGCAGACCCUGCCGGAGCCGCUGCCGCUAUGGAUGAUCGAGAGGAUCUGGUGUACCAGGCGAAGCUGGCCGAGCAGGCUGAGCGAUACGACGUGCUCUGGAACUGAACCCGCAGUAUCUUCCAAGAAAUGGUGGAGUCAAUGAAGAAAGUAGCAGGGAUGGAUGUGGAGCUGACAGUUGAAGAAAGAAACCUCCUAUCUGUUGCAUAUAAGAAUGUGAUUGGAGCUAGAAGAGCCUCCUGGAGAAUAAUCAGCAGCAUUGAACAGAAAGAAGAAAACAAGGGAGGAGAAGACAAGCUAAAAAUGAUUCGGGAAUAUCGGCAAAUGGUUGAGACUGAGCUAAAGUUAAUCUGUUGUGACAUUCUGGAUGUACUGGACAAACACCUCAUUCCAGCAGCUAACACUGGCGAGUCCAAGGUUUUCUAUUAUAAAAUGUAGGUUCUAUACUAGAAGGGAAAAUGUAAGAUUGAAAGUUGGUCCUUUUAGAACCAUAACUUUGUUCUAUGUAGGUUUUCAACUUUUGUUUAAGAAUAAUUGUUCAAUGUUAGAAGGAUAGUUAAUACUGGAAUGAAAAGAUGGGCUGUUAUGAAAAUGUAUUAGCUUUUGCUUAUUUAUAUUCUUUUGUUUUUGUGAGGCCUAUCCCAUUCCCCUCCCCCAAAUG
rnacentral:sRNA from 1 species